rnacentral:piRNA from 1 species
UGACCUCUCAUAAGGGAUUACAGGAUGUCU